CGGAAAACCCAUCUCCGUCACCAAAAUCCCACCCCUUCAUCCACCGGAAAACCCAUCUCCGUCACCAAAAUCCCACCCCUUCCUCCACCGGAAAAUCCAUCUCCGUCACCUAUAGCAGGAGCUAACAGACGAUUUUGGGCCUUCAAAUCACUGAGUUCCUCUCCAUUUUGCUUUAACAUCAUAAGUUGCUCUUUCUUUUGGAAAUACAAAUCCAUGUUAGAGAAGGAAAGCAAUCCUAGUUCCACAAGGAAAGAGAAGAAGAUACACUUAAAAGCCCAAUCCAUGUAAGAAUGAAAAUGCUGUCAUGAUUUGUAGUCCAACUUCGAUAGGCUCCC